rnacentral:misc_RNA from 1 species
AAGUCGUAACAAGGUCUCCGUAGGUGAACCUGCGGAGGGAUCAUUACAACGUAUCCUACGUAUCAACCCUUUUUGUGAACCCGUUUUCUUUAACAACAAAGUCUGGAAUGAGUGAGACGUAACGCCUGGUUGACAAGCAUCAUAUAGAGAAGGAAGAGUAAGCUUUGAUCGUGUUCGAAGCUGAAUGGGAUGCUCCUGGCUCGCCUUUACCGGUCUCUCGUGUGAGACAUGCGUGAAAGGGGUUUCGCUUAUUUUGACUGACCUGUCUUCUUUCUCGAUUUAUUUACUUAUUUACCCUUUGUACCUACCAUGGAUUUACGGGUGAGGCGAAAGCCGAGCUCGACAAAAUAUUAAAAAACUAUAGCACAACUCUUAGCAACGGAUAUCUAGGCUCUC